UCGUUGCCUCGUUGCCUCGUUGCCUGGCCCUCGGUGGGAUCAACCUGGACGUCUGAUGCUCUUUGUCUUGUCCUGGCUGCAGGCUGAAGAACCAGGCUCGACUCACGUCAGCUCCGUGACAUCAAAGCGACCGUGACACUGCGGCAAACCGCCGAUGACUGAUGCCUUUUUGUCUUCCUCAGUCAGGACGCAUCGCCCGGCCCGCGGACGGCUCUAAUCGCAUCGACAGGUGACACGUAUGUGGGAACCAGAAGAUGAUGGGGAGACGAGUCGGAUCAUGUGACCUGCGCCUCACAUGCCUCCUCCGUGUGCCUGUUCAGGUGGGACCGUCACAAACGUAAACCCGUUGAGUUCACUCAGUCUACUGGGAUCUGAACUGGUUCCAGCGGCGCAGUUGAAGGUCACAGCUCUUUCUCACCCUCCUCUUCCUCGUUGGGGAGCCGAAGGUCGCCGCUGGGUUAUUUUUGGUUUGUCUUUGCUGUCAUCCGUUUUAUAAAACGACAGGGUGACGUAACUCUGAGGGGCGCCGGCCGUGUAACGUGACGCUUCCACGGAUCGGGGAGGAAAAGGAGAUCAAUGGUUGCUCACGGAUACAGAACCGACGUCAUAAACGGCCGAAGUGCCAAAUGUAGGCCAAGGCGCUCAGCGCGGCGUUGGUUCUGCUCAGCUUUGUGUUGCCAAGGAGCUUCGGAGAGGCUCAACCGUUGCUAUGGAUGUUUUUGCUAACAAAUCAGUGAACAGUGAGGACGGCUAAUCAGACCACGAAAGGAAAGGAAGUUCUUAGACUCCUAUUCAGUCAUAAUGUUUCUAUGUUAAAGUGGAUAUUGGAUGUAAAAUGUGAUUAGAAGAUCAUGUAGGAGAGUAAAACACAGGCAAACGAUUUAAAGAGACACCUGCUUGGUUGUAGGCAAUAAGUGACUCUUUUCUCUCCAUAGGAAAAGGAUUCGCUUCCAAAUUCUCCUGAUCCCUCAUUCACACUGUGCUGUUACCUAGCAACUCCAGUGGAGUUCUCCGUGUUACCUAGCAACCCAAGCAGAAUUCCAGCGUGUUUGGUGAGCUUUACAAUGGCUCCUGGAACAGACAAGUGUUCAGUUGUUGGUUCACCAUCCAGAACCCACUGUCAGUAUCUCUAUGAGCUGUGCAGGAAGCACCACUUGUGCUUCUCAAAUACGUAAUGGUGCAUCUGUUAGGAGCCAUUGUCAUGUCAAUGAUUUCUCUCCCCAGUAGUGUCGUUGAAUUUGCUUCAGUCAAUCAGGUAUAUGCAGGUAGACGACCAGCUGGAUGUUAGUAUGUCUUAUUAUGGGUAAUCAAAUGUUUAGCGACAAUAUUCCAGAUCUAAAAUGUAACAGAGCGAAAUGAUGGGAAAUCAAUGUGUUGUGUGCAGAAUCGGAGGUAUUUAAGGAAAUGUGUAACAGUAUUAGUAGUUGAGGUUCAAAGGUCACAGAGUUCUUACAAACAUUCCUUCUCAGUGAUAAUACAGAAGGCAGGAGAAGAAACACCGAGUCGCCAUCGCACUCAAAGCUCUUCAUGUCUUUUCAACUCUUCAUGACCUUAAGGGUCAUAAUGAAUGGAUCCAGUUGGUCUGGAAAUCAGCUGCCAUUCUAAGAAGGUUCUGGUUUCUCACUCCACAUCCUGUGUGUCAUGUAUUGGGAGGCUGAUCUCAUCAUUAUGUGUAGUUUCUAUGUCAUGGAAACCAAAUCCUGAACUCAGCUGCUCGUGGCCAGUGUGAUGAAACUCUCCCAGCUUCAACUUUACCUCCAACCAACUGAGCCACACAGAACCGAUCCGGUCCAGUUUGAGGUUCACCGUUUCCCCUCUGCACUUCACUGUGUAUCAAUGUUGCAGCAGAGUUCAUGGAAGAGCAGCAAGUGAUGUUUCUUUCUGUAGCUGGUCACUAUUAAUUUUCCUUUGUGAUGUAAAGUGUGGUGCUGUUCAUCUCCUGUAGCCAGGGUUCAAAUGGGAAACACACCAAGUGGAGAAGGAGCUGCAGCUGCUUCGUGUUCUCAGUCCAGAAUGAAGCCGAAUCUUUAGUAGGUCUCAGCUUCUACCUCUGUGUGGUUUCACAGCUCUGCAUGUUUCAAGAUCUCUCUUUGUGUAUGUGAAUGUGUUUAAUGAUGGAAAGAGCAAUAAUAGCUAGUAAUGCUAGCUGAAAGAAUGAGUCAGUAAGUGGAGCUAAUGUCACUGUUGGAUAGUUUUAUGUAAUAAGUUAGUAAUGUAAACCUGAAACAGUGAAUCAAGAGUUUCUGCUAAAGCUACACUAUGUAGCAGAAGCUAAUGCUAUAGUGGAAAGUUAGACAGGAUCUAGGUGUAGUAGAAAGAACACGUCUUCAUUAGCAAUGUCAGCUGCACACUAGUACUGGAUGUUAAUAUGUUCUCUAUGUGGAAAAGAUAAUUUGGGGAGGAAAAGGAGACAGAAACGAAAGAAUAUAUGGAGUAAAUAUUUCAAAUAAGCAUAGAUGUACAUGUAGAUGUCAGAAGAAGGUGAUGA